CGAAUGCUGACAUAAGUAACGAUAAAGCGGGUGAAAAGCCCGCUCGCCGGAAGACCAAGGGUUCCUGUCCAACGUUAAUCGGGGCAGGGUGAGUCGACCCCUAAGGCGAGGCCGAAAGGCGUAGUCGAUGGGAAACAGGUUAAUAUUCCUGUACUUGGUGUUACUGCGAAGGGGGGACGGAGAAGGCUAUGUUGGCCGGGCGACGGUUGUCCCGGUUUAAGCGUGUAGGCUGGUUUUCCAGGCAAAUCCGGAAAAUCAAGGCUGAGGCGUGAUGACGAGGCACUACGGUGCUGAAGCAACAAAUGCCCUGCUUCCAGGAAAAGCCUCUAAGCAUCAGGUAACAUCAAAUCGUACCCCAAACCGACACAGGUGGUCAGGUAGAGAAUACCAAGGCGCUUGAGAGAACUCGGGUGAAGGAACUAGGCAAAAUGGUGCCGUAACUUCGGGAGAAGGCACGCUGAUAUGUAGGUGAAGUCCCUCGCGGAUGGAGCUGAAAUCAGUCGAAGAUACCAGCUGGCUGCAACUGUUUAUUAAAAACACAGCACUGUGCAAACACGAAAGUGGACGUAUACGGUGUGACGCCUGCCCGGUGCCGGAAGGUUAAUUGAUGGGGUUAGCGCAAGCGAAGCUCUUGAUCGAAGCCCCGGUAAACGGCGGCCGUAACUAUAACGGUCCUAAGGUAGCGAAAUUCCUUGUCGGGUAAGUUCCGACCUGCACGAAUGGCGUAAUGAUGGCCAGGCUGUCUCCACCCGAGACUCAGUGAAAUUGAACUCGCUGUGAAGAUGCAGUGUACCCGCGGCAAGACGGAAAGACCCCGUGAACCUUUACUAUAGCUUGACACUGAACAUUGAGCCUUGAUGUGUAGGAUAGGUGGGAGGCUUUGAAGUGUGGACGCCAGUCUGCAUGGAGCCGACCUUGAAAUACCACCCUUUAAUGUUUGAUGUUCUAACGUGGACCCGUAAUCCGGGUUGCGGACAGUGUCUGGUGGGUAGUUUGACUGGGGCGGUCUCCUCCUAAAGAGUAACGGAGGAGCACGAAGGUUGGCUAAUCCUGGUCGGACAUCAGGAGGUUAGUGCAAUGGCAUAAGCCAGCUUGACUGCGAGCGUGACGGCGCGAGCAGGUGCGAAAGCAGGUCAUAGUGAUCCGGUGGUUCUGAAUGGAAGGGCCAUCGCUCAACGGAUAAAAGGUACUCCGGGGAUAACAGGCUGAUACCGCCCAAGAGUUCAUAUCGACGGCGGUGUUUGGCACCUCGAUGUCGGCUCAUCACAUCCUGGGGCUGAAGUAGGUCCCAAGGGUAUGGCUGUUCGCCAUUUAAAGUGGUACGCGAGCUGGGUUUAGAACGUCGUGAGACAGUUCGGUCCCUA
rnacentral:rRNA from 2 species